AGUAGCUCAAUCGGUAGAGCAUUCGGCUGUUAACCGAAGGGUUGUAGGUUCGAGUCCUACCU
rnacentral:tRNA from 1 species